UGCAAGCGUUAUCCGGAUUCACUGGGUUUAAAGGGUGCGUAGGUGGGCAAGUAAGUCAGUGGUGAAAUCUCCGGGCUUAACCCGGAAACUGCCAUUGAUACUAUUUGUCUUGAAUACUGUGGAGGUCAGCGGAAUAUGUCAUGUAGCGGUGAAAUGCUUAGAUAUGACAUAGAACACCAAUUGCGAAGGCAGCUGGCUACACAAAUAUUGACACUGAGGCACGAAAGCGUGGGGAUCAAACAGG
rnacentral:rRNA from 1 species